rnacentral:rRNA from 1 species
GACAGAGGGGGCAAGCGUUGCUCGGAAUUACUGGGCGUAAAGGGCGCGUAGGCGGGAUGGCAAGUCGGUCGUGAAAUCCCUCGGCUCAACUGAGGAGCGUCGAUCGAAACUGCCGUUCUUGAGGGUUGCAGAGGAGACUGGAAUUCCCGGUGUAGCGGUGAAAUGUGUAGAGAUCGGGAGGAACACCGGUGGCGAAGGCGGGUCUCUGGGCAACUCCUGACGCUGAGGCGCGAAAGCGUGGGGAGCAAACAGG